UACAGAGGGGGGCGAGCGUUAUUCGGAAUUAUUUGGGCGUAAAGGGCGCGUAGGCGGCUUUUUCAAGUGACGGGGUGAAAAUCCCCUCGGCUUAAACCCGAGGGAAACUGCCCUGUCAGACUGGAAAGGCUUGAGACCGGGGAGAGGUGAGUGGAAUUUCCCAGUGUAGCGGUGAAAUGCGUAGAUAUUUGGGAGGAACACCGGUGGCGAAGGCGGCUACCUGGACCGGUACUGACGCUGAGGCGCGAAAGCUAGGGUAGCAACAGG
rnacentral:rRNA from 1 species